rnacentral:rRNA from 1 species
UAGAGUUUGAUCAUGGCUCAGGAUGAACGCUAGCGACAGGCUUAACACAUGCAAGUCGAGGGGCAGCGGGGGUGAUGGCUUGCCAUCGCCUGCCGGCGACCGGCGCACGGGUGAGUAACACGUAUGCAACCUGCCCGCCACAGGGGGAUAAGCGGAAGAAAUUCCGUCUAAUACCGCGUGACGCGGCACCGGGGCAUCCCGGUGCCGCCAAAGGGAUUACCGGUGGCGGAUGGGCAUGCGGCGCAUUAGCUAGUCGGCGGGGUAACGGCCCACCGAGGCGACGAUGCGUAGGGGUUCUGAGAGGAAGGUCCCCCACACUGGUACUGAGACACGGACCAGACUCCUACGGGAGGCAGCAGUGAGGAAUAUUGGUCAAUGGGCGCGAGCCUGAACCAGCCAAGUCGCGUGAGGGAUGACGGUCCUACGGAUUGUAAACCUCUUUUGCCGGGGAGCAAGCGUGCGUUCGUGAACGCGCGUCGAGAGUACCCGGAGAAAAAGCAUCGGCUAACUCCGUGCCAGCAGCCGCGGUAAUACGGAGGAUGCGAGCGUUAUCCGGAUUUAUUGGGUUUAAAGGGUGCGUAGGCGGGAUGCCAAGUCAGCGGUAAAAAAGCGGUGCUCAACGCCGUCGAGCCGUUGAAACUGGCGUUCUUGAGUGGGCGAGAAGUAUGCGGAAUGCGUGGUGUAGCGGUGAAAUGCAUAGAUAUCACGCAGAACUCCGAUUGCGAAGGCAGCAUACCGGCGCCCUACUGACGCUGAGGCACGAAAGCGUGGGUAUCGAACAGGAUUAGAUACCCUGGUAGUCCACGCAGUAAACGAUGAAUACUAAUUGUUCGGGGAGAAUGAUCCCUGAGUGAUACAGCGAAAGCGUUAAGUAUUCCACCUGGGGAGUACGCCGGCAACGGUGAAAC